rnacentral:rRNA from 1 species
AACGAACGCUGGCGGCAGGCCUAACACAUGCAAGUCGAGCGCUCACCUUCGGGUGGGAGCGGCGCACGGGUGAGUAACACGUGGGAACCUACCUUGAAGUGCGGAAUAACUGAGGGAAACUUCAGCUAAUACCGUAUACGCCCUACGGGGGAAAGAUUUAUCGCUUCAGGACGGGCCCGCGUUGGAUUAGCUAGUUGGUGAGGUAAUGGCUCACCAAGGCAACGAUCCAUAGCUGAUUUGAGAGAAUGAUCAGCCACACUGGGACUGAGACACGGCCCAGACUCCUACGGGAGGCAGCAGUGGGGAAUAUUGGACAAUGGGCGCAAGCCUGAUCCAGCCAUGCCGCGUGAGUGAUGAAGGCCUUCGGGUUGUAAAGCUCUUUCAGAUGGGACGAUGAUGACGGUACCAUCAGAAGAAGCCCCGGCUAACUUCGUGCCAGCCGCCGCCGUAAGAC